AUUGAACGCUGGCGGCAGGCCUAACACAUGCAAGUCGAACGGGCGGCGGGCGGGAGAGUAAUGUAUGGGGCUCUUCCCGGUGGAGGGGGAUAACUACUGGUAACUGUGGCUAAUACCGCAUACUAUCGGAUGAACCCAUAUGGGAUGAGCUAGUUGGUGGGGUAAAGGCUCACCUAGGCGACGAUCUCUAGCUGGUCUGAGAGGAUGAACAGCCACACUGGGACUGAGACACGGCCCAGACUCCUACGGGAGGCAGCAGUGGGGAAUAUUGCACAAUGGGCGCAAGCCUGAUGCAGCCAUGCCGCGUAUAUGAAGAAGGCCUUAGGGUUGUAAAGCACUUUCAGCGGGGAGGCGUUACCUGCAGAAGAAGCACCGGCUAACUCCGUGCCAGCAGCCGCGGUAAUGC
rnacentral:rRNA from 1 species